AGCAGCCGCAGUAAUUCCAGCUCCAAUAGCGUAUAUUAAAGUUGUUGCAGUUAAAAAGCUCGUAGUUGAAUUUCGGAAUCAGUACGCCAGUCAUGCUUCGGUAUGUACUAGUGUCACUGAUUCCUUCCUUCUGACGAACCGUCAUGCCAUUAAUUUAGUGUGAUGUGGAAUCAGGACUGUUACUUUGAAAAAAUUAGAGUGUUUAAAGAAGGCUCGCGCUUGAAUACAUUAGCAUGGAAUAAUGAAAUAGGACGUUUGAUCUUAUUUUGUGGUUUCUAGGAUCGAUGUAAUGAUUAAUAGGGAUAGUUGGGGGCAUUAGUAUUCAAUUGUCAGAGGUGAAAUUCUUGGAUUUAUUGAAGACUAACUACUGCGAAAGCAUUUGCCAAGGAUGUUUUCAUUAAUCAAGAACAAAAG
rnacentral:rRNA from 1 species